rnacentral:tRNA from 1 species
GCGGAUGUGUCGGAACUGGCAGACGAGCCGGUCUUAGAAACCGGUGCUUAUGCGUGCAGGUUCAAGUCCUGUCAUCCGCACCA